rnacentral:rRNA from 1 species
GCGGAGGAAAAGAAACCAACAGGGAUUGCCCUAGUAACGGCGAGUGAAGCGGCAACAGCUCAAAUUUGAAAUCUGGCGCAAGCCCGAGUUGUAAUUUGUAGAGGAUGCUUCUGGGUAGCGGCCGGUCUAAGUUCCUUGGAACAGGACGUCAUAGAGGGUGAGAAUCCCGUAUGUGACUGGCUUGCACUCUGAACGUAGCUCCUUCGACGAGUCGAGUUGUUUGGGAAUGCAGCUCUAAAUGGGAGGUAAAUUUCUUCUAAAGCUAAAUACCGGCCAGAGACCGAUAGCGCACAAGUAGAGUGAUCGAAAGAUGAAAAGCACUUUGGAAAGAGAGUUAAAAAGCACGUGAAAUUGUUGAAAGGGAAGCGCCCGCAACCAGACUUUGCGGCAGUGUUCGGCCGGUCUUCUGACCGGUUUACUCGCUGUCGUGAGGCCAUCAUCGUCUGGGACCGCUGGAUAAGACCUUAGGAAUGUAGCUCCCCCUCGGGGAGUGUUAUAGCCUCUGGUGAUGCAGCGCGUCUCGGGCGAGGUCCGCGCUUCGGCAAGGAUGAUGGCGUAAUGGUUGUCGGCGGCCCGUCUUGAAACACGGACCAAGGAGUCUAACAUCUAUGCGAGUGUUCGGGUGUCAAACCCCUACGCGUAAUGAAAGUGAACGGAGGUGGGAACUUUUUGUGCACCAUCGACCGAUCCUGAUGUCCUCGGAUGGAUUUGAGUAAGAGCAUAGCUGUUGGGACCCGAAAGAUGGUGAACUAUGCCUGAAUAGGGUGAAGCCAGAGGAAACUCUGGUGGAGGCUCGCAGCGGUUCUGACGUGCAAAUCGAUCGUCAAAUUUGGGUAUAGGGGCGAAAGACUAAUCGA